AAGGAAAGAACAGGGUAUCUGCUUGUAAUCAAAAACAUUUUAUUCUAGCUUCAUGCACUCUUUUUUAAACACUUUAAUGUGGGUAGGUUUCAUAAAAAAUAAAGAAAUAACAUUUUGAACAAAAAGCUGAAAAAUGAUUAAAAUGAGGCUAUGAAUUGGAUUCAGAAUGAUAAUCGCAACGUAGAUGAGUCGAUUAACACCCCAAAGCUUGACUGUAAUUAUAACCUCUUCAUCUGUCAUUUUAUUCCAUAAUGUGACAGUUUCAAUGCUGUUUCAUGUCAGAUGAUCGUGUUACAUGUGUUGGGAUCAUAGACAGACAAAAGAAACGGACACAUCGACCCCAUUGGAUUCAACGGAGACAAGUGAAGUCAAUUAGAAGCACACACUUCCUGUGGGUCGAGCGUACUGCGCAGACUCAAACUGAGCUUGAUGACGUAGAUGUCACGUGAGCAACCUGUACGUCUUCUAAUCACUGUGCCAAGAGAAAGAUGAAUCACCCACCGAAUCUUGCAGAUGUGGAUUUAAAGUGAUACUUAGAAACUUCCUGUGACAUUUUAAUGAAGAUAACUGCAAAGAAGAAGAGAUGGAAGGCCUUUACCUGUGAAAACACUGAAGUCGAGCUGCUGUGAAUCUGUGUGUGUUCUGCACAGUCACUCACGCUGAACACGAUGCCAGCAGAAACACCAUGAAGACAUUACUUCAGCUAACGAACUCGUGCUGUUGUUCAGUGUCAGAGGAACGAGGAUCAUUCCAUCCAUCAUUAGAUCCAGCCCUCAGGCACUUUCACAUUUACAUACGUUUCUCAUCUGACCACAGUUCAACAUCACUGGACAGAUGACCGGCUCUCACUGACUCCAUACACUAUGAUUUAGCAAGAGAUCUCAAAUAAAAGUUACUAAACACC